GAUUCGUGAUGAGGUCACUUCCGUAAUAAUUCUUUGUACCUUUCCCAUACGUCAGACAAGGACUCAUCAUCCAUUUGUUGGAAAGCAGUGAUCUCGUUCCUCAAUAU
rfam:Gossypium hirsutum cultivar TM-1 chromosome 12, whole genome shotgun sequence